UUGUCUCUUCUGCUCUGCAUCUGUUCUUCCUCUCAGGCAAUGAAACUAGGGUUUCAAUCACAGAGAUCGUAUUAGCCGAGAAACAUCACAGAAAUCUGUUGAAUCUUUUCAAUACCUAUCAAUCAUCAAUCUGUAUAAGUGUUAACCGAUUUUUUUUUAGAUUUUUAGGGUUCAUCUUUUUUUUAAUCGAUCUGUUUUUUAGGGCUUCGUUUCAUCUUUAUUUUUAGUUUUUCCAGUUUUUAAUCCGUUAAUCUAAAACGAUUUGUUUCAUAUGAAGGAAAGGUGUUGGUUUUGAAUAUUUGAGUUAGUCAAUCUCAGUGGUCGAUCAGGAGAAAUCAAAAGGGAAUCUUUGUUGUUCUUAUUUUGGGAUUGAAGGUUUUACUGUAUGACUAGGUGUCUCUGGAUUCUAGGUGCGGGACGAAUCACCAUAUUGUACAUUGUUUGCAGGAGGAGUUAGGGUAUGUCAGCAGUAGAGGUCAAUGAAUAUGGACAACCAGUUUCAAGGAACGCAACAACAUUAGGUCACCGGAGAGGCGGCUUGGCUCGUACACAUGUGCCUAUUUCAUAUAAAAGCUGGGAUGUUGUGCCUCCAAAGUAUAAGGAUGAUAUUUGUAAAACCCUUAAGGAUGAAUAUGAUGUACCUGAGACAUCAAAGGAAAAUAUUCUGAAGGUCGGUUCUGGUCCAUGGAGGAUAUUCAAGUCUGAGUUACGCCUUGCCUACUAUGACCCUGUCCCUACUCAUGAAGAAAGGAUUCUAAAUUUUCCGCCAAAUGUGAAAGAAUAGGAUUGGAUAAAAUUUUGCGAAAAUGAAAGAGAAGAAAGACAAAGCAAAGUAAAAUUGAGGAAAAGAGGAAAAGAGAACAAUAUGGAUACACACAUUGUAGUGGUCGCAAACCUCAUGCUUUGGUGAGAGCUGAACUGGAGGCCGAAAAUCCUGGUGCAAUGAUCACUCCUGAGGAUGUGUGGGUUAAAGCGCAUACGCAAGAAGGUGGUUCUAUUUUACCUAGCAUGGUGUCGUUCGCUGAGAAGCUCAAGAAGGCCCAAGAUGAGAUCAAAGAAAAACAGGAUGCAGGUCUUCCAGUAGAAGAACCUUGUGCAAUGACUAAAGCUUUUGGGGCAGAUUCUAGAGGAUGGGUUCUUUAAGUUUCUUGCAGCAACAAUAUGAUGAGAAAAAUAUACGACGGAGAAUGUAUGAUGCUAUGAAUGUUCUCAUGGAAAUGGAUAUCAUAUAUAAGGAUAAAAACAGAGAGAUACAAUGGAGGGGCCUGCCUCGCACUGGCCCAAAUGAUGUUGAUGAGCUUAAGUUUGUAGGUCUUCAGAACCUGAUUCAACGGAAUGAGCAGUUAUAUUGUUCAUGGAAUGCACCUUCAGGAGGUGUUCCCUUACCUUUUAUUUUAGUCCAUGUAUGACUUGUUUGCCCAUUCUUGCUGACCUCUGCUUAUAUGAUUCUUACAAGUUACUAGAUAGAAUUGUUGAAUUAUCCACUAGUUCAAAAGGAUUUGCUGGGUGCAUUGUAUUGUGCAGGUAAUGUGUUUUCAAAGUUGUUGUAGAUAGUGAUAAAA